rnacentral:lncRNA from 1 species
UCAUUACUCCUAUCCAUGUAACUACGCGAUAAUCAUGGAAACUGAUUGAAAUUUGAAUUUCUGAAAAGAUUUAGUCAUGGACAUGUAUCAAUCAUCCAGAGUAGUGCCUCGCAGCCGCAGACGUUCAAAUCCUCUCAGGGUACCAAGCCUACAUAUUCGUCUUGCUUUCUAAUAUCAUUGCGGAGCUCACAAAACGGCCCGCCUAGGUUCAUACGCUGUAAAUAAUGCACCACUGGAAAAGGACAACACAGUAGG